UCCGAAGGGGGCUAGCGUUGUUCGGAAUCACUGGGCGUAAAGCGCACGCAGGCGGAUCGAUAAGUCGGGGGUGAAAGCCCGGGGCUCAACCUCGGAAUUGCCUUCGAUACUGUCGGUCUCGAGUCCGGGAGAGGUGAGUGGAAUUCCUAGUGUAGAGGUGAAAUUCGUGGAUAUUAGGAAGAACACCAGUGGCGAAGGCGGCUCACUGGCCCGGUACGGACGCCCAGUUCCAAAAGCGUGGGAGCAAACAGG
rnacentral:rRNA from 1 species